GAGAUUUUCGCAAUGCCCGAAAGGGUGACGAAGCGACGCCGCGUGCGGGAAGAAGGCCUUCGGGUUGUAAACCGCUGUCGGGAGUUAAGAAAUGUAAGGAUGUUAAUAGCAUCUUUGCUUGACUAAGGCUCCGGAGGAAGCCACGGCUAACUCUGUGCCAGCAGCCGCGGUAAUACAGAGGCGGCAAGCGUUGUUCGGAAUUAUUGGGCGUAAAGAGCACGUAGGCGGCUAUGUAAGUCGGUUGUGAAAGCCUUCCGCUCAACGGGAGAACAGCAUCCGAUACUGCAUGGCUUGAGUGCGGGAGGGGAGAGUGGAACUUCUGGUGGAGCGGUGAAAUGCGUAGAUAUCAGAAGGAACGCCGACGGCGAAAGCGGCUCUCUGGCCCAUAACUGACGCUGAGUGUGCGAAAGCUAGGGGAGCAAACGGGAUUAGAUACCCCGGUAGUCCUAGCCGUAAACGAUGGGCACUAAGUAGAGGGGUUUUA
rnacentral:rRNA from 1 species